UCCUCAUGAAGUUGAAAGUAAAUUUGCAGGCGAAUGCACUUACAAAAUGGAUGUUGAAACUGUGGCGCACAUUUCUCGGCAACAUUAGAAGUCGGGUAAAAGUAUUGAUUUGAAGGAAAGACGAGCAGAUUCUGGGGCCAGUGCUCUAAAAUGAGUCUCUCUGGGGAGAGAGAGGAGGGGGGCCCUGCCUCUAAAAUGAGACACUCUGAGGAGAGAGAGGAGGGGGGCCCUGCCUCUAAAACGAGUCUCCCUGAGGAGAGAGAGGAGGGGGGCCCUGCCUCUAAAAUGAGUCUCUCUGGGGAACAUGACAUCAAACCUAAGAGCGCCCGGCCCGGGAUUCGAACCAGCCACCUUUCGGUCACAGCUCCAACUCCAACAUG